UUAAAAAAAAAAAAAAAGCACAUUAAAACCUAUCCUUCCAAAUUCCUCAAUACAGAAGCGACAUCAGAUUCAAUAUUUCCCAAUGUAAUCACUGUAAAAUUUGCAGUAUACCUAUGAUGGCAAAAUUGUGUUAUCCUGUGGCAACACCAGUUGUGGCACUGCCAUAGUGGAUAAGAAAAACUAAAUGGCAUUGCAUAUGAAUUCCCUUAUUUUGCAAGGAAACCAUAUUCUCGUGCAUGAAAUUUUUGUUUAGUACAUCCUUUACUGAAAUUUAUCAUGAUAAUACUGACAAAGGGGAUUGCCUCAGUGGAACAGAGGUGCUAUAUAGACAAUUGAAUUCCAUAUCACAUAAUGUUAGAUGAAUUGGUUUCGACAACAGUAUUAUCAUAUCCAAAACAAGUCAAAGAUGUCCACUGGUGAAAAAGUUCUCAUGUGACAGCACAAUAAGCAACAUCAGUAAAUUUAGAAUGCAGCAAAAGAUUUAAAGGAAUACAUGGGACAACAAUUAGGAGAGUAGUACAACAUAACCUAGAAGCAUUACACAUUUCCGGGGAUUUAAUCCAAAAUCGUUUAG
rnacentral:misc_RNA from 1 species